ensembl:lncRNA
CGACGGCCGGCCGCCCAACGGGCGCGUGGGCUGCCCUGGACGCACCGCGGUGGUAAUUCCACUCCGCCGCCUGCAUUAGUCAAUUAUUCAUCCCGCGCUGCCCGCGUGCAGGGCCACCCGCAGGCCACUGGGGGCCCUCGCUCUGGGGCUGCCAGGGACGCAGGGUCGCUUCUCAGGAGGGAACGGGGUGCCCUGGACCCCAGCUGCAGACCCCUGCAGGGCCAUGAGCCAGGGUGAAGCUCCCCGGGAAGGGGGCUGCGAGGCCCAGCAACCUGGACCCAGGCCAAGAAGUCAAGAACUGCUGAAGUCCAGGCCUCCACGCUUGUACUGACACAAGCGACCACCCAGCCCCGCCAACCCAUAUGGCUCUGUUUUCCUGAUGUAUGAGGCCUCUCACGUGCCCUUGGUCAUCUCUCCUGGGCGCACAGGGCUGCUUGUGGCGCUGGUUACAGGUGCAGAGGACUUCUGUCCCCGGGGGCUUGCUGACCUUCAUUCACCCUCUGCUUCCUCC